rnacentral:rRNA from 1 species
CUACGGGGGGCUCCAGUGGGGAAUAUUGGACAAUGGGCGAAAGCCUGAUCCAGCAAUGCCGCGUGAGUGAUGAAGGCCUUAGGGUUGUAAAGCUCUUUUACCCGGGAAGAUAAUGACUGUACCGGGAGAAUAAGCCCCGGCUAACUCCGUGCCAGCAGCCGCGGUAAUACGGAGGGGGCUAGCGUUGUUCGGAAUUACUGGGCGUAAAGCGCACGUAGGCGGCUUUGUAAGUUAGAGGUGAAAGCCUGGGGCUCAACUCCAGAAUUGCCUUUAAGACUGCAUCGCUUGAACACGGGAGAGGUGAGUGGAAUUCCGAGUGUAGAGGUGAAAUUCGUAGAUAUUCGGAAGAACACCAGUGGCGAAGGCGGCUCACUGGACCGUUGUUGACGCUGAGGUGCGAAAGCGUGGGGAGCAAACAGGAUUAGAUACCCGAGUAGUC